rnacentral:rRNA from 1 species
GGAGACGACGGCACAGUUAAAUGUAAAGGACUCUGAGCCUUCCUACGGCGGAGCCAACAAAGCACAAAAACAUAAACAAAAUCGAAGGAACAUGUGAUAAGGGAACCCCGAGUUGCCCGUACACGCGGGCUGUCCCGUGUUUAAAACACAUCGGAAGAAAGGGCCGGGCAAGACCGGUGCCAGCCGCCGCGGUAAUACCGGCCGGCUCGAGUGGUGACCACUUUUAUUGGGCUUAAAGCGUUCGUAAGCUUGAUUUUUAAGUCUCUUGGGAAAAUCUCACGGCUUAACUGUGAGGCGUCUAAAGAGAUACUGGGAAUCUAGGGACCGGGAGAGGUAAGAGGUACUUCGGGGUAAGAAGUGAAAUUCUGUAAAUCCUUGAAGGGACCACCGAUGGCGAAGGCAUCUUACCAGAACGGCUUCGACAGUGAGGAACGAAAGCUGGGGGAGCGAACGGGAUUAGAUCCCCGGUGUCCCGCCGUAACUAUGCGCGUAGGUGUGCCUGUACCUCAAGUACCCGGGGGUGCCGAAUUAAACGUGAAACUUGCCGCUGGGAAGUACGUCCAGCUAACUUAGGAUGGCGGGGGACCCCA